ensembl:lincRNA
GAAACUUACACCUUAAAAAAGAGAGGGAGAUGCACAACACAAAGUGGCGAAACAGCACCGCAUAUGGCUUCAGCAGAAAAGAAUUUCACUUUCUUGAUUUUAGUUUAGGGUUUUGUUUUGUUUUGUUUUCAUUUAAAUUUUUAAUUUCGCAGGUCAUUAAAAGGGCCUGAUUUUCUUUAUUUCCCUCACUGGACCUUUCCUGAGGGACCCGGUUGGUUAAACCCAAUACUAAUUGGGACUUUCCUGUUCCAGCACCGAGGACAGAAAUUGCUUAUCUCCAGGGCGAAGCUACUCUCUGCGGAGGGCCAGAAGUCUACUUCUCUGACCAAGGAAGAAAAAGAAAAGAUACCUGGCUCGCCAGCCACUUGUUUAAAAGUCCCCUCUCCUGCCGAACGCACCAGCAACUUCUCAAGAGCAGACACUGAGCAACUCCAAGUCGCACGCCGCCCUUACAAGUCACAAGGAGAGAGCCGCGAGGAAGUGCGAAAGCAGGUCACUUUUUUAUCAGCACCCCUCUGAAAGAGACCCGCGAUUCCAGUUCAGGCGCUGCGCGAGAGCUAGAGCGUUCUACAAAGCGCAGGUGGCUUCAGGGAUUGGGGCGGGGGGGACAAAAAAUACCCAACCAAACAAACAAAAAAACACCCCCGAAGACAGAACGGGCGGCGGGGCCAUUCUCUCGCCCCAGUGGGGAAUGCCUUCCUCCUACCGCUGACAGCGCAGAAUAAAGGAGAGGGAGGCGCAGGGAGCCAGGAGGAGGAAGGGGUGGGGGCAUGGGGGCAUCUGCAGCGUCCUGGGGCUCAGGAAAGAACAUUUUCUCACCACUUAGGCUGUUGCUGGACCUCAGGCUCCUUCCACAGAGACACUGCAGCAUAUGCACUCCUUUCUUCAAAGAAAGCUCAAGAAUCUUCAUGGAGAGGCGCGUGUGUGGGGUUCGUCAACUCCCCGCCCACCUCCGCUAAUUGUCCAACCAAACGGCGGCCUGUCUUCGGCAGCCGGGUCCCGAGUCCAUGGUGCGCGCGUCCCAGGUGGACGGGGAGCCGGGGCGCCUGGCAGGAGCGCGGCGGGCGCCGCGGCCCGGCAGGGAGCGAGGAGGAAGUGCCGCUCCGCUGGGGGCAGCCCCGGGGGAGCCGGCAACGCGGCCACACCCCAGUAAGCUCGAACGUGACUCUUUGGGACUUCCCGAAGGAAGCGGCAGGGCCGCGGGCGGGAGGCCUCUUUGGCUUUGUUGGUUUGUGUACUCAUUCUCAGAGGCCACCAAUGCCCUUUCGGAAGCCUUGUGAUUGAAGCAUACAAAGAAUGCGGACUAUGGGGCCAGACUCCACUCUAUCUGGACUCUCAAGACAAGAGACCUUAUGGAACAGCGAUACAGCAAGUGAUUAAAAGCACAUAUGCUGGAGACAAGCAGCCUAUAUUCAAAUUCCUACUAGCUGUGUGACCUUGAACAAAUUACUUAACCUCUCUGUGCCUCAGUUUCCUCAUCAUUUCCACACUGAAUAAGAGAGUUAAUAAUAGCAUCUACCUUAUUGAAGUUUUUUUUAAUUGAUAUAAAGUAAGUGCUAUAGUAGUGUUAGCAAUUAUUG